GUGGGCUUGUGAGUGUUCCAUAUGGCACACUGAUGAGUGACACAACUCAUGAAUCCUUGUGAGAAGAGAUGCCGUGGGAUCACAGAGCAAGAAGCAGGGCUGCAAAGAAGGAAGAAGAAACCUCUGACCCUCCCAGUGCCCCCAGUGGUCAGCACAGUAGCUCAGCAACAGCAACGCCUUUCUAAUCAAACCAAUGGAUCUUGGUUUUGUGUCAGAGCCCAGAGUUGCUCCUGAUGUCCUGCUGGAGGCUCAACCUUGCAAGACCUGCCUUGGAUCUUGGUGACCCUAUCAACCACUGGACAUAAGGCUGAACUUGCUGAUGAAACUGUAUCAGAAGUGCCAGAGCUUGGUAUGGAUAUUGCAGAAUUGUAACUGCCCACCAGGUGUUCCUAGCUCCCUCUUAGACACAAUCAUAAAAAGGCAAACAUGGUCCUGAGACCUGUGUCCUACAGGAUGAAAUCAGCGUCAGGAACUAGAUUGGUUUCAAUGGCAGUGGCUAAAUUCAGUGUGACGAUACUUAAAAUGUGGGCAGCAGAACAUGCUGGAGGUGCUCUGUAGAAACAGGGGCAGCUCAAGGCUGUCAGUUGUUAAAGCAUUUACCUACCAUAAACCAAAUGUCAACCUGAGAGCAGAGUGAGGGGUGGAAAAGGGAAAAAGCCUUGGCUACAGCCCAGCUGCAGCAGAUGUUGAGGGCUCAGUCCAGGAUCAGUGCAUGAGCUGAGGACUGGAAUGGACGGACACACCUGAGUGAACUCCACCACAGCCAGGCGAGCUCCCAGGGACGUGCAGGAGUGCACAGAGGCCCAGGAACCAGGGCACAACAAGGGGGCCACUCCCGCACAAAGCCAGCCAUCACAUCUCAACACUUCUUCAUUCCUCUGUGGACUGCAGAGGAGCCUAAACAGGUCAGAUCUUAUCCUGGGCACCAAGCACGCAGUGGUGAAUGACUAUGGCAAAAUUUGCAAGAGCAAUAUUGUCCCCUCACCUCUGAAGAAUAUUGUAAAUACUUUUAGUACUUUUGUUUGCUUGCAGAGUGGGAUAAUCCCUCCUAACUUGACUCUCUGCUAACCCUACAUGCUGUUUCUACAUUUAGUUUUGAUUAAAAAAAAAAA
ensembl:lncRNA